UGAGCAAUCUGCCCUUCUCAUCGGAAUAAGCGUUGGAAACGACGUCUAAUGCCGAAUACGACCUCCUUUCGCAUGAUCGGAGGUGGAAAGCUCCGGCGGAGAAGGAUGAGCUCGCGGCCUAUCAGCUAGUUGGUGUGGGUAAUGGCCCACCAAGGCGACGAUGCGUAGCCGACCUGAGAGGGUGAUCGGCCACAUUGGAACUGAGACACGGUCCAGAUCCGUACGGG
rnacentral:rRNA from 1 species